rnacentral:rRNA from 1 species
CCAAUAGCGUAUAUUAAAGUUGUUGCAGUUAAAAAGCUCGUAGUUGAAUUUCGGGAUCAAUGGGUUGGUCAUGCCCUCGGUAUGUACUGAUUUCAUUGGUUCUCACCUUCUAAGGAACCAUGAUGUCAUUUGUUUGAUGUUGUGGGAAAUUAGGACUGUUACCUUGAAAAAAUUAGAGUGUUUAAAGCAGGCUAACGCUUGAAUACAUUAGCAUGGAAUAAUGAAAUAGGACAUCCGAUUCUAUUUUGUUGGUUUCUAGGAUCGAUGUAAUGAUUAAUAGGGAUAGUUGGGGGCAUUAGUAUUCAAUUGUCAGAGGUGAAAUCCUUGGAUUUAUUGAAGACUAACUACUGCGAAAGCAUUUGCCAAGGAUGUUUUCAUUAAUCAAGAACGAAAGUUAGGGGAUCGAAGACGAUCAGAUACCGUCGUAGUCUUAACCAUAAACUAUGCCGACUAGGGAUCGGAUGAUGCUUAUUUUUUAAUGACUCAUUCGGCACCUUACG